rnacentral:lncRNA from 1 species
UGCAAUUAGCUUGUUAUAUCCUUGUAAUUUUUGGGUUAUAUAGUUUGUGUUUGGUUCUUUGAUAUUUGUAGCUCUGGGGUUAAGGUUUAGAAAAGUUUGUACUCUAUAGAUAUUUUCUAUGUAUUUUUGGGUUGUAUAGUUGUAAACUUUUUUAUCUUGGUUCAGGCUAUCUCGGUAUGUGGUGAUUUGUGGGGGUAUGGAC